UACGUAGGGGGCAAGCGUUGUCCGGAUUUACUGGGCGUAAAGAGCGUGUAGGCGGCCACGCAGGUCCGUUGUGAAAACUGGAGGCUCAACCUCCAGACGUCGACGGAAACCGUAUGGCUAGAGUCCGGAAGAGGAGAGUGGAAUUCCUGGUGUAGCGGUGAAAUGCGCAGAUAUCAGGGGGAACACCUAUGGCGAAGGCAGCUCGCUGGGACGUUACUGACGCUGAGACGCGAAAGCGUGGGGAGCAAACAGG
rnacentral:rRNA from 1 species